rnacentral:misc_RNA from 1 species
AAGUCGUAACAAGGUUUCCGUAGGUGAACCUGCGGAAGGAUCAUUACCGAAUCCGCGAAGGGGGGGCCGGGCCCCUGGCCCCCAUCCCCGCCCGAUUCCACCCCAUGUGUACUACAACCCCCGUUGCUUUGGCAGGCCCGCCGCGGCCUGCCAGAGGCCCGAAACCCUCGAAUCGCUGAUAUAUCUGAGCGUGACGCAAUAGUUAAAAA